rnacentral:rRNA from 1 species
UACGAAGGGGGCUAGCGUUGCUCGGAAUCACUGGGCUUAAAGGGCGCGUAGGCGGGCCGGCAAGUCAGGGGUGAAAUCCCACGGCUCAACCGUGGAAGUGCCUUUGAUACUGCCGGUCUGGAGGGAGGUAGGGGCGUGCGGAACUUCCGGUGGAGCGGUGAAAUGCGUAGAUAUCGGAAGGAACACCGGUGGCGAAAGCGGCGCGCUGGACCUCUACUGACGCUGAGGCGCGAAAGCCAGGGGAGCAAACGGG